ensembl:lncRNA
GAAAUGUCUGAAAUAAGAAUUGUGCUCUCUGGAGACAGCGAAAAGAGUUUUUAUCAUUGAAAGCCCUGUCAGGAAAUUGCUUGGGGGCUCUAAAAAGGACCUGCAUGCAGCAGCCAAAACACUGGUUAUCAUUAGAGCCUUGGCACGUGGAAUGAGUCAAAGGAUGUUGACACUGACAGCAUCUCAGUCUGCUGGAGCAAGGCACGAUGUGGCUAUUGAUGGCAGAGAGACACUUCAGAUCUGAAUCCUACUUUGCUCCACAAAGGUCCAGCCGUCAACCAGUCCAAAUAAGAAUCAGGAUCAAACCUAACUCUUCAUCUACUGUUCUCCAGAAGCUAACUGUUUUCUGUGAUUUUCUACGUCAAAAUUUUCAUUUUUAAUUUCAAAGGAUAAUACUAAUUGGGUAUUUUUGAGAUGAAAUAAGACUCCUUAUGAUAAAG